UAGGCGAGAUAACCGAUUUUGCUGUAUAGAUCAGCUAGCAGGAGACAUAUGAUAUGUGCCGUCACCUGAAGGUUGCUGUUUACUAUGGGUUUGGGUAGUAUGUUUUGCCCGUCGUUGGCUGUAUGCCUUGAGUUCCACAUGUUUCUCUUGGAGUUUGCUACAGUCUAUGCCUGCAAGCAGUGCAAAUAGGUUGAUCAACAAGUCAGGAAUGUUUAAACAUGGAUGGGAGGGUGUACUAUGUUUUUGAAAUAACAAGGAUGACCUGCUGCUGGAGUUAUAUCGCCUUGGAAAUUGGAGUUGGAAGAUGCGGAUGGUAUAGUUGGAGCUGUUGGUUCUUGUGGAGUAGCCAUUUGUUGCAUGACAUCUGAAAUACGUGAUGUUUUGUGUUUCUUGUAGUCCAGCUUUCUUGCCACAUCUAUUCGGGAUCGCUUACUUGACCAUCCAAUUGAUCCGCUUAUAGUAUCACUCUGGCUCUGGGAA
rnacentral:lncRNA from 1 species